rnacentral:rRNA from 1 species
UACGUAGGGUGCGAGCGUUGUCCGGAAUUAUUGGGCGUAAAGGGCUCGUAGGCGGUUUGUCGCGUCGAGAGUGAAAUCCACUGGCUUAACUGGUGGCUGGCUUUCGAUACGGGCAGACUGGAGGUAUGCAGGGGAGAACGGAAUUCCUGGUGUAGCGGUGAAAUGCGCAGAUAUCAGGAGGAACACCGGUGGCGAAGGCGGUCUCUGGGCAUGUCCUGACGCUGAGGAGCGAAAGUGUGGGGAGCGAACAGG